rnacentral:lncRNA from 1 species
AAGGGUAAAUCGAUUUUCAUUUAUGGAGGCGUGAGAAUAGAGUGACGAAGAUGAAAGUGUGAGCAAGAAAUUAACCGUUUACAAUUGCUUACCUGAAAAAUGUGAUUAUAGGAAAGUCAUUCAUCGAAAAUCCAAUUACAUUAGCAGGCGUAUUCUCUUUUCUUCUCAGAAACUUUGAGAUCUGAUUUGAAUAGUCAAUUGAUAGGAAUUAAGAUUGAAGAUGAUGCUGAAAAGGGAAAACCCAGAAUUGGAAGACCCAUUGAUGAAGAGAAAAGAGAGAGAGAAUAUCAACGAUUCUGAUUUG